GAGUUGACAGAAUCGUUACAACAUCAGAAAUAAUGCCUUGUGGUAUUUGUUUCAGCUGUUUACAUUAUGAACUCAAAUCCCACCAAUGUCAACUUUGUCUUUCAUCCCUAAGGGAUCAAUAAAAUAAUGUACCAAUCAAGCACUAGAGUCAGACACAACAUACACUUUUAAGCGGGCAUAAAUAUUAACUUUUACUAUUAUCACUAUGUUUCAUCUUGAAAUUAUAUUUGGCUUAUAUUCGAUGGAUCUGCAUAGGCACAGGAGUGGCUGUAUGGUAAGUAGCUUGCUUACCAACCACAUAGUUCUGGGUUCAGUCCCACUGCGUGGCACCUUGGGCAAAUGUCAUCCACUACAGCCUUAGGCCAGCAGUAUUGACUAAACACCUGACCUCAAAAUUGUUGUUGUUGAUGGCUAUGCUGUUAUAGAAACAAUAUAUGUCAAA